UAGGGAAUUUUCCACAAUGGGCGAGAGCCUGAUGGAGCAACGCCGCGUGCAGGAUGAAGGCCUUCGGGUUGUAAACUGCUUUUAUAGGUGAAGAUUAUGACGGUAACUUAUGAAUAAGGAUCGGCUAACUCCGUGCCAGCAGCCGCGGUCAUACGGAGGAUCCAAGCGUUAUCCGGAAUUACUGGGCGUAAAGAGUUGCGUAGGCGGUUAAACAAGUGAGUAGUGAAACUGUGGGGCUCAACCCUGCACCCAUUAUUCAAACUGUUUUGACUAGAGAGUGGAAGAGGUCGCUAGAAUUCCUAGUGUAGGGGUGAAAUCCGUAGAUAUUAGGAGGAAUACCAAUGGCGUAGGCAGGCGACUGGUCCAUUUCUGACGCUGAGGCACGAAAGCGUGGGGAGCG
rnacentral:rRNA from 1 species